rnacentral:misc_RNA from 1 species
UGGAAUUCUACUUUCUUAAGAGAUUUCCUAUUCCUUAUGCUCUCUAUCUUAUAUGUGUGUCUAUAUUAGCCGGAUUUUGGGGGCAGUUCUUCGUGAGGAAACUAGUGAAGUUGCUCAAAAGAGCAUCCAUUAUCGUCUUCAUCCUCUCUGCAGUAAUCUUCGCCAGUGCGAUAACCAUGGGUGUUGUUGGUGCUGAGAAGAGCAUGUCAAUGAUCGAG